UAAAUUUUCUGCUACCGCACAUUGCGCCGUCGGUGUUGGUGUUGACGUAGAAUAAUCAUCGUGUACGGCGUUCCUACACCUAAAUAAGAAUAAAAUAAGAAUUUUUAAAAUGUUUAUGUCACGCUUAAAAAAAGACGUCCUAGGAUUAAUUAUAAGGUGCAGCCACUGUUAUAGGUAAUUUAAUGUAUACCUGUAAGCAACGAUGUAAACCAUUGCUUACGAAGAAAUGAUUCUGAGCGGAGUUCAGUUGAAAAUGAUGCUUUGUCAACAAUGUAUUUAUAUAUAUAUGUCAUAUUGUGCCUGUGUUCGAUACACUAUUGUUAAGGAAAAAUGAUUCUGAGCAGAUUAUUAUUGGAAGCAAUGCAGUUUAGUUG